rnacentral:rRNA from 1 species
GGAAUUUGACGGGGGCCCGCACAAGCAGUGGAUUAUGUGGUUUAAUUCGAAGCAACGCGAAGAACCUUACCAGGUCUUGACAUCCAACUAACGAAGCAGAGAUGCGUUAGGUGCCCUUCGGGGAAAGUUGAGACAGGUGGUGCAUGGUUGUCGUCAGCUCGUGUCGUGAGAUGUUGGGUUAAGUCCCGCAACGAGCGCAACCCUUGUGAUUAGUUGCUACGCAAGAGCACUCUAAUUCAGACUGCCGUUGACAAACGAGGAAGGUAGGGGACG